rnacentral:rRNA from 1 species
UGGGGAAUAUUGCACAAUGGGCGCAAGCCUGAUGCAGCCAUGCCUCGUGUAUGAAGAAGGCCUUCGGGUUGUAAAGUACUUUCAGUCGGGAGGAAGGUGGUAAGGUUAAUAACCUUAUCAAUUGACGUUACCGACAGAAGAAGCACCGGCUAACUCCGUGCCAGCAGCCGCGGUAAUACGGAGGGUGCAAGCGUUAAUCGGAAUUACUGGGCGUAAAGCGCACGCAGGCGGUUGAUUGAGUCAGAUGUGAAAUCCCCGGGCUUAACCCGGGAAUUGCAUCUGAUAAUGGUCAGCUAGAGUCUUGUAGAGGGGGGUAGAAUUCCAGGUGUAGCGGUGAAAUGCGUAGAGAUGUGGAGGAAUACCGGUGGCGAAGGCAGCCCCCUGGACAAAGACUGACGCUCAAGUGCGAAAGCGUGGGGAGCAAACAGG